GCCAGGUGUGGUGGCGCACCCCUGUAGUCCCAGCUACUCGGGAGGCUGAGGUGGGAGGUUGACUUGAGCCCGGGAGACAGAGGUUGCAGUGAGCUGAGAUCAUGCCAUUGCACUCCAGCCUGGGUGACAGAGCCAGAUCCUACCUCUA
ensembl:misc_RNA Metazoa_SRP Metazoan signal recognition particle RNA